AUCAAAGCUGCCACCUGGGUAGAGCGGGUCAAUGAUCUCACCAAGUGGGCCGCCAGCAACGCGGUAUCCCUCAACGGCACCCAUGAGUACAACCUGACAGGCCCAUAUAGCUAGGAUGCUUUGUGCAUGGACGAGGCUAGGGUUGCCUAGGUAGUCGAGGCCACCCUCACUGAAGAUCUGGGAGCCGGCCUUGAACCAGACAGCCUCGCCAAACUUGACGCCAUUGCGGGCGAGCAGCUCAGGGAAGACACAACCCAGUGCCCCGAGCAUGGCCCAGCGACUGUGGAUCACCUCCAACUCCCGGUUCUUCGCGAAAGUCUCGGGGUCGGCAGAAAGUCCAGCGGUGUCCCAGCCAUAGUCACCUGGGAACUCACCAGUCAGGUAGCUUGGGGGCUCACCUGAGAGUGGACCAAGGUAGAGCACGCGGUCGGCACCAUACCAUGGGCUACCAGAGGAGACCUGCUUUGCCUUCGCCGCAGUCUUGCGCAUCGUAAUGCGGGCCUCGCCGAAAAGUGUGGAUGAUGGGAGAUUCUUGACUACCUUUCCA